AACGAACGCUGGCGGCAGGCUUAACACAUGCAAGUCGAACGCCCCGCAAGGGGAGUGGCAGACGGGUGAGUAACGCGUGGGAAUCUACCUAGUUCUACGGAACAACAGUCGGAAACGACUGCUAAUACCGUAUACGCCCUACGGGGAAAGAUUUAUCGGAAUUAGAUGAGCCCGCGUAAGAUUAGCUAGUUGGUGAGGUA
rnacentral:rRNA from 1 species